CACAUCAUGACAAAAACCUCCUCACUGCUCACAUUCACUUCUGCUUUUACACAACAUGAAAAACCUCUUCAUCUCAAGUUCUUUCAUUCAUAUUCAAUCAUUAUUCUACAGCACUGCUCAUCUUUACACUCAACACACACCAAAUCACAAGAUGAUGAAAAUAUUCUGCACUUUCUGCACUCUUCUCACCUGUGUCAGUGGUGUGACUGUAGUGACUCAGGAUCCUCCAGUUCUCACAGUGAAUAAAGGACAGAAAGUCACUCUCAGCUGUAAUCUGGGAACAGUUACUGGUUCAUCUGCUCGCUGGUAUAAACAGACUCCAGGAGGAAUUCCUCAAUAUGUGUUAAGAUUUCGUCAUGGCUGGAGCUCAGUUAAUUAUGGAUCUGGUUUCUCUGCUCCUAAAUUCACAUCAACACAUUCAUCUAAAUCAGAUUAUAGUUUGAUCAUUAAUAAUGUUGAGAUCGGAGAUUCAGCAGUUUAUUACUGUCACACUUGGGAUGCUUCUGUUAAAGAGGAGGUAUCACAUGUGGUAUUCGGACAAGGAACAAAACUGAUGGUGACUGAUUCUGCUGUUCCUCCUCCGGUUGUGAAUAUUCUCUCUUAUUAG